GACGAACGCUGGCGGCAUGCCUAACACAUGCAAGUCAAACGAGACCUUCGAGUCUAGUGGCGCACGGGUGCGUAACGCGUGGGAAUCUGCCCUUGGGUUCGGAAUAACAGUUAGAAAUGACUGCUAAUACCGGAUGAUGUCUUCGGACCAAAGAUUUAUCGCCCAGGGAUGAGCCCGCGUAGGAUUAGCUAGUUGGUGAGGUAAAGGCUCACCAAGGCGACGAUCCUUAGCUGGUCUGAGAGGAUGAUCAGCCACACUGGGACUGAGACACGGCCCAGACUCCUACGGGAGGCAGCAGUGGGGAAUAUUGGACAAUGGGCGAAAGCCUGAUCCAGCAAUGCCGCGUGAGUGAUGAAGGCCCUAGGGUUGUAAAGCUCUUUUACCCGGGAUGAUAAUGACAGUACCGGGAGAAUAAGCCCCGGCUAACUCCGUGCCAGCAGCCGCCGUAAGAC
rnacentral:rRNA from 1 species